rnacentral:rRNA from 1 species
UACGUAGGGGGCAAGCGUUGUCCGGAAUCAUUGGGCGUAAAGAGCGUGUAGGCGGCUCGGUAAGUCCGCUGUGAAAGUCCAGGGCUCAACCCUGGAAUGCCGGUGGAAACUGUCGGGCUAGAGUCCGGAAGAGGCGAGUGGAAUUCCUGGUGUAGCGGUGAAAUGCGCUGAUAUCGUAAGGAAGACCAGUGGCGAAGGCGGGUCUCUGGACAGUUCCUGACGCUGAGGCACGAAGGCCAGGGGAGCAAACGGG